CAGAGACAACUUCAUAGUAUACUGGUAUCUUAUGUUCCUCCUAACUGGAGUGGUGUGUCCUGUUUGAGCUCUGUCUGCUCGAGUCAUUUGAUUUUAUUCCUGCUUGAGUGUUCUUUGAAAGAUCCACUAUUCACACUGUGUUGGUUUUUUGGUUUUAGUCUUUGGUUUUUAGGUUUUAUUCUUUGCUUUUAGUUUCUGGUUUUUGGUUUAAGGUUCUUGUGAAUAAAUUCUUUUUGGUCCUUUCUUUGUUCGAAAUCUAGAA